GGGAAGGGUCAGGAUAAUCCAACGUCUCUGCCUCCUUCCUUCUUCUAUCCUGCCAAUCCCUACACCAGGGAACACUUAACCCAUACCUGCAGGCAUCCCAGGUUCUAAGAGAGACUCCUAAGCAGGAGAUAUACAGGUAUUUUGUACCGCUGUGCAGUGGGGAAAAAACCAAGGACUUGAUUCCAGAAGACCUGGGUUUGAAUCUGGACUCUUACUGGAAAGUCAGAAGAUUUAGACCUGAAAGGGGACAAAGCACAAGGUGUCACCCUCUGACUAUUGAACAGGGGAUUCGGACAUUGUCUGUGGUCCUAGAAACCCUCCUUACCAACUGUGACACCUUGGGCGUGUGCAAGAUUAAAAGAAAAAACAACAACAACAGCAACUUAUUACUACUUGCAGGC
rnacentral:lncRNA from 1 species